rnacentral:siRNA from 1 species
CAUCUACAUCACUUCGAAUUCCUA